UUUUAAGUGCUGGAUGUUCCAAGCAUGGGGCUCGGGGUUUCCUUGCAUAUCUUCAAUUCGGUAUACCCCGGGCUUAACCACUUUUGUCACCUUGAAUGGACCUUCCCAGGUUGGUGCUAGUUUGCCUGCAGCUGCUCUUUUUCCAGUAGCUUCCAGGUUUCUUAAAGUCAGGUCUCCCACCUUCAAGCUUCUUUCUCUGACCUUUUGAUUGUAAUAUCUUGCUGCUCGUUGUUGGUAAGCCGCAGUUCGGACUUGGGCAUCUUCCCUAACUUCUUCAAGAGCAUCUAAGUUGCUCCUUAAUUUGUCCCCAUUAGCGUUCUCACUAACGAAUUGAACUCGAUGAGUGGGGAUCUGCAAUUCAACUGGGACUACGGCCUCUGUGCCAUAAGCAAG
rnacentral:lncRNA from 1 species